GAUGAACGCUGGCGGCGUGCCUAAUACAUGCAAGUCGAGCGAACAGACGAGGAGCUUGCUCCUCUGACGUUAGCGGCGGACGGGUGAGUAACACGUGGAUAACCUACCUAUAAGACUGGGAUAACUUCGGGAAACCGGAGCUAAUACCGGAUAAUAUAUUGAACCGCAUGGUUCAAAAGUAAAAGACGGUUUUGCUGUCACUUAUAGAUGGCUCCGCGCCGCAUUAGCUAGUUGGUAAGGUAACGGCUUACCAAGGCAACGAUGCGUAGCCGACCUGAGAGGGUGAUCGGCCACACUGGAACUGAGACACGGUCCAGACUCCUACGGGAGGCAGCAGUAGGGAAUCUUCCGCAAUGGGCGAAAGCUUGACGGAGCAACGCCGCGUGAGUGAUGAAGGUCUUCGGAUCGUAAAACUCUGUUAUUAGGGAAGAACAAAUGUGUAAGUAACUAUGCACGUCUUGACGGUACCUAAUCAGAAAGCCACGGCUAACUACGUG
rnacentral:rRNA from 1 species